GUUCUUGCUUCAGCAACACAUGUACUAAAAUUGGAACAAUGCAGAGAAGAUGAGCAUGGUCCCUGAGCAAGGAUGACAUAAAAAUUUGUGAAGUGUUCCCUAUUCUG
ensembl:snRNA U6 U6 spliceosomal RNA